rnacentral:rRNA from 1 species
AUUGAACGCUGGCGGCAGGCCUAACACAUGCAAGUCGAGCGCGAAAGUUCUUCGGAAUGAGUAAAGCGGCGGACGGGUGAGUAAUACAUGGGAAUCUGCCUGGUAGUGGGGAACAACGUUUCGAAAGGAACGCUAAUACCGCAUACGCCCUACGGGGGAAAGGGGGGGAGUCUUCGGACCUCUCGCUAUCAGAUGAGCCC